rnacentral:tRNA from 30 species
GGGUUGUUAGCUCAGUUGGUAGAGCAGUUGACUUUUAAUCAAUUGGUCGCAGGUUCGAAUCCUGCACGACCCACCA